rnacentral:rRNA from 1 species
UACGGGGGGGUGCGAGCGUUUGUCCGGAAUCACUGGGCGUAAAGGGCGCGUAGGUGGUUUGAUAAGGGUGUGGUGAAAGCCCGGGGCUCAACCCCGGGUCUGCCGUGCCGACUGUCAAACUCGAGGGCUGUAGAGGCAGACGGAAUUCCGGGUGUAGCGGUGGAAUGCGUAGAGAUCCGGAGGAAGACCGGUGGCGAAGGCGGUCUGCUGGGGGUGAGGCUGACGCUGAUGCGCGACAGCGUGGGGGAGCAAACAGG